UUUAUCUUUGACGACUCUUGAGAGUGUACAAUCAACAGGACCUCCUUUGCAAAAGAUUCUGAGCACUGGAGCUUUGAGGACGAAAGCGCUUCAGGGCCGCCCUUAGAAGACCUUGCUUUUGUCUCGUGGGCUUGAUUAAAGAUUGGACCAGCAGGAGGCCCAAAACUUUUCGCCCCAAACUAGGCCCUAACAGACCGGGCUUUU
rnacentral:lncRNA from 1 species